rnacentral:lncRNA from 1 species
AAAUAAUUAAAUAACGAAUAAUAAAUUUCGGGUCGUUACAACUCUCCCCCACUUAAAAGAUUUUCGCCCUCGAAAAUUACCCGACUUAAAACAACUCCGGAUAACUCUUUUAUCCGAUUUCCAACAAAAGACUUCAAACUCCACGUAUUAAUAAGUUUGACAAAAUUAGUCUAUCCCAACCAACACAAUCUCGUCUAUUACCAACAAUAGAUCAAGGACAGCUAAUCCCUCGAUUUGUCGAUAGAUAGUCAACAAUCAUGAUGUCGGUAUAAACCAUCCUUAUCAAACCACCAAAACGUCCACUUAAUAUCUUACGGUACUCACUGCACCACUCAAAACAAACUCUAAUCAGUCUAAUACACCUUGAAAAGACGUUUUCGUUGAAUACCUUACAACUUUUCAAGUUCCAUAAGUCCUCAACUUUUCUUCAAUCACUUAACUGCGUCGAAUCUUAUUCCAAUCAUUUAGUCGACAACACAACCUCAACAUUUCUUCGUUGAUCAACUCCUCAAAUUUUUUCUUGACACUUAUCAAAUUCACCACCUCUAACCGUUAAAUUCUUAGAUCACGUAACAUAACAUUCCCAAUGUCGCUUUUCCGCCGCGAUACCCUUAUCAAAAUAUUAUUUUAAGUCACCCAUAGACUCACUGUUGUUUCACCGUCCAUGAUGAAAAUAUUCGAAAUCCUUUACUCCUUUAGCACAUGGUAUAACUUUACUAUUCCAACGGAUACGAUGUGUCCAACAUCUCAAAUCUCCACUGACUUUUCCAAUAAGUCGUUGUCAAUCUCAUUCUUACUUCUGAAUGUUACAAAACACUCUCUCUGAUACUUUCUUAUUUCCAAACAUCCAAAAAUGAUACUUCGCUCCCAGUUCCAUCUCAACCUCAUAAGGUUUCAUCCAACUCCGACACUAAUCGUCCGAUCAUUAUCCAAAUGAAA